rnacentral:rRNA from 1 species
UGGCGGUAGGCUUAACACAUGCAAGUCGUGCGAGAAAGUAUCUUCGGAUAUGAGUAGAGCGGCGGACGGGUGAGUAACGCGUAGGAAUCUACCUAGUAGAAGGGGAUAGCCCGGGGAAACCCGGAUUAAUACCGUAUACCUCCUUCGGGAGAAAGAAGGCCUCUCUUUGAAGCUUUCGCUAUUAGAUGAGCCUGCGUAAGAUUAGCUUGUUGGUGAGGUAAAGGCUCACCAAGGCGACGAUCUUUAGCUGGUCUGAGAGGACGAUCAGCCACAUUGGGACUGAGACACGGCCCAGACUCCUACGGGAGGCAGCAGUGGGGAAUAUUGGACAAUGGGCGCAAGCCUGAUCCAGCCAUACCGCGUGUGUGAAGAAGGCCUUCGGGUUGUAAAGCACUUUAAGCAGGGAGAAAAAGUUAUAAGUUAAUACCUUAUACCCGUGAUGUUACCUGCAGAAUAAGCACCGGCUAAUUCCGUGCCAGCAGCCGCGGUAAUACGGAAGGUGCAAGCGUUAAUCGGAAUUACUGGGCGUAAAGCGCGCGUAGGUGGUUUGUUAAGUUGGAUGUGAAAGCCCUGGGCUCAACCUAGGAACUGCAUCCAAAACUAACUCACUAGAGUACGAUAGAGGGAGGUAGAAUUCAUAGUGUAGCGGUGGAAUGCGUAGAUAUUAUGAAGAAUACCAGUGGCGAAGGCGGCCUCCUGGAUCUGUACUGACACUGAGGUGCGAAAGCGUGGGUAGCGAACAGGAUUAGAUACCCUGGUAGUCCACGCCGUAAACGAUGACAACUAGCUGUUGGAAGACAACGUCUUUCAGUGGCGCAGCUAACGUUUUAAGUUGUCCGCCUGGGGAGUACGGCCGCAAGGCUAAAACUCAAAUGAAUUGACGGGGACCCGCACAAGCGGUGGAGCAUGUGGUUUAAUUCGAUGCAACGCGAAAAACCUUACCUAC